GACUUCCCCGGAGUGGUUUUUCUCUUAACUGAGUUUCCACUUCGUGAACAAAAAUCUUUGUGUCAUUUACUUUCCGCUGUGCCUUAAUUUUUGUUGACACAUAUGCACACACUUUACUUUUAGAAGUCAUUUCAAUUUUUCAAAGACGUUGCUACAGGCUCAGACCUAGAGGAAUGAUGUCUUGGAGCAGCGCAUUCAUCAUCUCGAGGCCAUCCUCACUUCCGUGGCAGUAUCACAUGUGAGCCCAGGUGCUUAGCAGUCUCCACCUGCAAACGGAGGCAGUACGUCGUCUGUUAGUAGUGCUUCUGCAUGUAAUUCGACAACGAUUGGUCCAUUGUUACCUAUUGGACGACAGCUGAGCCAGCACUCCCCCGUUGGGACUCCAUCACCUGUUACACCAUCCCUCGCCCAGUAAUCGCCCGUUGACGAGCACACGCCUGCUACGAGAGUUCGUGAUCAGCAGAGACGGUCCUCAGAUUUGUAGAUAUUAUGUGUAAUUUUGUUUUGUUAGUAACUAAUACGUUUAUUAGUACAUAAUCUAUUGUUGUUAGAUUAUGUAGAUUUGUGUACAUAAUCUAUUAGUACAAACACGUUUAUUAGUACAUAA